rnacentral:rRNA from 1 species
AGAGUUUGAUCCUGGCUCAGGAUGAACGCUAGCGGCAGGCCUAAUACAUGCAAGUCGAACGAGAUUGGGGAGCUUGCUCCCCAUGAGAGUGGCGUACGGGUGCGUAACGCGUGAGCAACCUACCGUUGUCUGGGGGAUAGCCCGAAGAAAUUCGGAUUAAUACCGCAUAACAUCAGUGAACAGCAUUGUUUAUUGAUCAAACAUUUAUGGGACAGCGAUGGGCUCGCGUGACAUUAGCUAGUUGGAGUGGUAACGGCACACCAAGGCUACGAUGUCUAGGGGAUCUGAGAGGAUGACCCCCCACACUGGGACUGAGACACGGCCCAGACUCCUACGGGAGGCAGCAGUAAGGAAUAUUGGUCAAUGGAGGGAACUCUGAACCAGCCAUGCCGCGUGCAGGAAGAAUGCCCUCUGGGUUGUAAACUGCUUUUAUCUGUGAAUAAACCUUUCUACGUGUAGGAAGCUGAAUUAGCAGAG